UAUCCAUUUUAUAAAUAAGUUUUCCUCUGCGAACAUUUUUGGCCAGAGAUCAAGCAGAUGAUGAAGAAAUUUUUGUUCGAGAGUGCACGAGCAGUACACGAGUUAUUUAGUCGCAAGUACUUUUGAGCAUGGAACUAAUCGCAAUCGAACUGCUUCCUCGAACUACUCCUCUCUCGAUCUGAACUGAUAUAGUUGUUUGUACGAAAAAUGAAGCAGAAAGCAGGAACUUUUGGAGUGGUUAAGUUAACAACUACCACUACAUAUUGCACACUACCGUCGUCUUCGUCGUCCAAGAAAUGUUGUUCUUGUGGAGGAGUUGGAUGGAGACUCCACUCCUCGGAAAACAUUCGCAACAACCACCAACAAAAAUUGCUUCCAAAGUCUUCGUCGAUAAUAAGGAGGAGGAUUUCUCAAAUGAUGAGAUACCAAAUAAAUGAUUGGAAAUAUGUAGGAAAAAGGUGCGAUUUGAACGCCACGAGUCCGUUUUUUAAAACCAUGAUGGCACAAUUUCGUCCAAAUUUUAUUCCUUCCAUAAAAAAUUAACGGUUUUGAUAAUGUUCUCUUCACUAAAAUUUAUUGCAAGCCUUCUUCCUCAGUUUAUAUUGCCAUCUUAUGUUAACCAUUUAUUAUGCAUGUCGCUCCAAAUUGUUGCAUUCUGUCGCGUUAUCUAACUUAAUGACGGAUUUAUUUCGUUGUCGCUCUUUCCAUUCCUUCCAUCAAGAAGAAGUCUAAUUCAGUUUGCUGACGUAUUAGUAGGAGAAUAUAAGUAAGUAGUAUAAUAGUGAAAUCUUGUACAAGUAAAAUCACGAACACUGUGUAAAGUAAAAUAAAAGCUGUACUUACUUGCAAUCUGCGAGUAGUGAAAUCAAA